UACCAGCUCCCGAGUGGUAGGGAUGAUUAUUGGGCUUAAAGCGUCCGUAGCCGGCUUAGCAAGUCUCCUGUUAAAUUCAGCGACCUAAUCGUUGAGCCGCGGGAGACACUACUAGGCUAGGAGGCGGGAGAGGCCGACGGUAUUCUCGGGGUAGGGUGAAAUCCUAUAAUCCCGGGAGGACCACCAGUGGCGAAGGCUGUCGGCUAGAACGCGCUCGACGGUGAGGGACGAAAGCUGGGGGAGCGAACCGGAUUAGAUACCCGGGUAGUCCCCAGGCUGUAAACGAUGCGGGCUAGGUGUUGGGGUGGCUACGAGCCACUUCAAGUGCCGCAGGGAAGCCAUUAAGCCCGCGCCUGGGGAGUACGGCCGCAAGGCUGAACUUAAGGAAUUGGCGGGGAGCACCACAAGGCGUGAAGCUUGCGGUUC
rnacentral:rRNA from 1 species